ensembl:lncRNA
CUCAACUGAGAAUUAGUAGGGGUUAGUCUGCUUCCAGUUUGUUAGUUUGUCUUUACUCCUGGUCUUAAUGGAAGCCCAGAGUGCUUAGUAGAGCUCCUCAUUCUAACGUCUAUGAACUUCACCUUUGUCUCUCCAGCUCUGUGAGAGUUAGUUUUUAGCUUCUGACUGGCUGCCUUCUGCUUGGUUUGUUGACCUUUUCACUCCCACCCAGUUUAGGAUGCAGCAAAUUCCUUAAGGUGACCAAGAGCAGAUGCUGACACCAGGGAAAGACAGAGGGAACUGGAGGGGUGAUGGCCAAAAGAAGUGGCGCUGGAUGUGCAUCAUAACUCACCAUGGACCCCCGAGAGCCAGCCGCAUUGCAGCCUAGGUCAAUGCAGAUGAAUAGGCAAAGGUCAG